ACCACCAGUGGAUGGGGAGGCAAAGAGCUGGAGCUCAGCUGAGGGGCUUUCUGUUCAAAUGCAAGGGCAGCAACGCUGGGCAUCACCCUGGUGCAGGUGAUGCUUUAGGAUUUGUGAGCUGGGAGAGCCCACAGAGACAAGUUCAUCCCUGGUGCAAUUCCAGAACUGUCAUGGUUGAAUACAGAGGUGUACAAAACACUCUGAGUAAGAGGUAGAAGUACCUGAGCCUUGUGGCCUCUGACUUCAGCUGAGCAGUCAGAUCCCUGUCCUUUGCUUUUUUGUGUGCAAAAAGUGGACCUGAUAUGUAUGGAAAUGAUCUCAGCUGAAAUUGAAGCAGUGUGGGAAACAAAACUAGAAGGAAUCAGAGGAUUUCUGAACCACACUGUGGAGUUUUCUCAGCCCUCACGUGCCGUCCUUGCCAGUGGGCUGGGCUGCAGCAGCAGAGAACUGCAGAAGCACCGUGAUUGAGAAGAGCUCUGCCUUUGCCUCACCGAGUCAUCUCAGACAGCACUGAAAUACCCUGCAAAUUCCAGCACUGAAAUACCCUGCAAAUUGUAUCAGUGAAAUAACCUGCAAAUUCCAGCACUGAAAUACCCUGCAAAUUACAUCAGUGAAAUACCCUGCAAAUUCCAGCACUGAAAUACCCUGCGAAUUCCAGCCAGCACGUGAAACCCACGACUGAUCCCAGUGUCAAACUGAUCUUAGAUGGGAGCACUAGAGAUCAAAUGGCUUUGUCAGCCCCUUUGAUUUUCUUUUACAAUGAGCACUUUCAGUGGUUCCACGAGUAUCCUUCAUCAUUUUAUCUGAAAGAAAUACUAAUCUAUUCAGAAAUACAUGCAUAUGUACAGGCUGCACGUAAAGCAUCUAUCCAUAUACCCCUCACUCCCCCUUUUCUUCUAUUUAAAUAGU